rfam:Schistosoma mansoni strain Puerto Rico chromosome 4, complete genome
AUUCAGCUGACGAGUCUCAGAUAGGACAAAACGAGCGUCCUGGAU